UACGUAAGGUGCGAGCGUUGUCCGGAUUUAUUGGGCGUAAAGAGCUCGUAGGCGGUCUGUCGCGUCGAAUGUGAAAACCCGGGGCUCAACUCCAGGCUUGCAUUCGAUACGGGCAGGCUAGAGUUCGGUAGGGGAGUCUGGAAUUCCUGGUGUAGCGGUGAAAUGCGCAGAUAUCAGGAGGAACACCGGUGGCGAAGGCGGGACUCUGGGCCGAUACUGACGCUGAGGAGCGAAAGCGUGGGGAGCGAACAGG
rnacentral:rRNA from 1 species